GAAUCUUGCGCAAUGGGCGAAAGCCCGACGCAGCCAUGCCGCGUGAAUGAUGAAGGUCCUAGGAUUGUAUAAUUCUUUUACCGGGGACGAUAAUGACGGUACCCGGAGAAGAAGUACCGGUCAACUUCGGGCCAGCAGCCGCGGUAAUAAGCAGGGGGCUAGCGUUGCUCGGAAUUAGUGGGCGUAAAGGACGAGUAGGCGGGUCGUUAAGUCAGAGGUGAAAGCCCGGAGCUCAACUUCGGAAUUGCCCUUGAUACUGGCGAUCUUGAGUGUGAGAGAGGUAUGUGGAACUCCGAGUGUAGAGGUGAAAUUCGUAGAUAUUCGGAAGAACACCAGUGGCGAAGGCGACAUACUGGCUCAUUACUGACGCUGAGGCGCGAAAGCGUGGGGAGCAAACA
rnacentral:rRNA from 1 species